AUUUUAAAUAUGUACUGGUCUCGUUUUUACUAAAAACAAAUUCUUAUUUGUUGAUUUAUAGAUUGCAACCAUGGGCCGCCGUCCAGCCCGCUGCUAUCGCUACUGCAAGAACAAGCCUUACCCCAAGUCCCGCUUCUGCAGGGGUGUGCCUGAUCCCAAGAUCAGGAUCUUCGACUUGGGCAGGAAAAAGGCUAAGG